rnacentral:misc_RNA from 1 species
GAUGAAGAACGCAGCGAAAUGCGAUAAGUAAUGUGAAUUGCAGAAUUCAGUGAAUCAUCGAAUCUUUGAACGCACAUUGCGCCCGCCAGUAUUCUGGCGGGCAUGCCUGUUCGAGCGUCAUUUCAACCAUCAAGCCCCCGGCUUGUGUUGGGGACCUGCGGCUGCCGCAGGCCCUGAAAACCAGUGGCGGGCUCGCUAGUCACUCCGAUCGUAGUAAUACAUCUCGCUCAGGGCGUGCUGCGGGUUCCGGCCGUUAAAAGCCUUAUUUACCCAAGGUUGACCUCGGAUCAGGUAGGAAGACCCGCUGAACUUAAGCAUAUCAAUAAGCGGAGGA